CUCCCCGCUCCGCCCCGUGCGCGCCGCCGGCUCCAGGUCAGGGCGAGCGAGCGGGGUGAGUACACCUAACCUCGGCGACCUAACCACGGCGGUACCUCCGCCGCUGCCUGCAGCCCUCGCCCGCCUCCUGGGACCUGAGAAGGGUGGAGGAUCGGCCAGCCAGUAACAGGCCUGGGAGGUGGGCGCGGGCCGCCCAGGCGACCUUUCCACCUUGUGCUAGGAAUGUGCUCACGUGACCUUGAAACAAAGGAAGUUAAGUGACUGGCAGGCUUUUCAGAUUUGCAGCCAACACAACCUCCUCCCCCCAUAAUCUAUAAAACCGGGAAGGUGGGGGAGGGGGGCGGAGAUAAAGGACUAGUUAACUGAUUUAUAGAAGCCAUACUUGCAUCUAUAGUGAUAAUUAUGAAAAUCUUGGUAGUAAAGCCCAGGGUUUCAGAAUCAAAAUGGAGCCCCAUUUUCUGCAGUUACAUGUUUUCGGCAAGAUGUAAAUUGUUUCCAACUGUAAGGAAAAAACAAAACAAAACAAAACAAACCAACCAGAACAGUCUUGGGUUUGUUUUUGAGAGAGAUUUGUACUAUGUAGCCCACGCUGGCCUGGAACUCUAAACAACCCUGCCUCUGUCACACAAGUGUUGGGAUUCCUAGUGGGCACUCUCAUGCCUGUUUUACCUAUCUUGAGCCUCUUGCCUCAGCCUCUCCUCAGAGAAGCUGAGUUUAUAGACCCCCAUCUCAGGUUACAGGGGCCAUCAGCUUCCCUCCAGUGCUUGUGUUCAUGUUUUAAGUUCUCUUUGACAAUUGGCUUCCUCUUUCUAAGUGCAAUAGUUCUUUUCCAAAGGCUUACUUUGGGUCAUUAUAAUGUGACAGUGGCCCCCACUGUGGUGAUGAAAGUGAACAUUUAUGAUGGUUAGGGUUGGAGAACACAGACCCUGUGCAGGACUCAAGUCUAUUUUAGGAUUCCAGGUACCAUUGCUCCUCAUUGCUUCCAAAGUGUCCGAUAUUGACAGGAAAAAAUGACACAGAAUGAAAAACUUAGCAGAAAAAAAAAAAUUCAGAGCAACAAGGGAGUUAAAAGUCUCACAGAGCAGUUUUAAAGACGUCAUGCCUGAGCUUGAUGGCCUAUCCCUCUCACCCAAGUGUGGGGCAAUGGGCUAUACACACCCCAGCCUGGCAUAGCUAGAGGCAGAGCUACCUCCAUUUUGAGGCUAGCCUGCACUAUGCAUGGCUAGAUCCUGUCUCAAUG
rnacentral:lncRNA from 1 species